rnacentral:lncRNA from 1 species
UCUGGGUUAGUUUCGAGUUGGUGUGAGUGUAUUCAAGCUGGUUUUAGGUGAUUCGGUGGUUGAAAUUAGUGGUGGGUCAUUUGAUUUAUUACUGGAUUUUUGAACUUGUUGCUGAACUACUGCUGAAAAUUCUUAUUGCUGCUGAUCUUUUCUUCUUCUCAUUGUAUUUCCACUUCAGGCACACGUCAUGUAAUUUCCUAGUUGGAUGUGAACUGAAUUGCAGCAUGGCUUUAUUUUCCGCUAAUUUUCAUACUAGAUUUCCUGUAAUUUCAUGAACAUUAAUAGAUCCACGUAUGUAAUUAAAACAAUAGACUAUUGGACUAUAGAAACUUUGUUUUUUAUAAAAUUUGUAUGGCUGUGAUUUCAGUUUUAGCAUAAGUAAUGUUAAUGACUCAAUGUAUAGGUCAAAACAUGAGGUUUCAGUUUAGAACAUGAAGUUUCAAAUUCGAGAUCUUAAGAAUAAUUCCACAUGUAUUGAAAGCUUAAUUGCAUUGUUGGAUUUUCGUUAACAUUGGAAUUACAUGAGUUUGCAUUUAAUGGCAUUAAUUCAGUGGCAGGAAAUAAGUGACUAGUUAGUUUAAAAUCAG